rnacentral:rRNA from 1 species
UACGUAGGUGACAAGCGUUGUUCGGAAUUACUGGGCGUAAAGGGCUUGUAGGUGGCCAACUAAGUCAGACGUGAAAUCCCUCGGCUUAACCGGGGAACUGCGUCUGAUACUGGAUGGCUCGAGUGUGGGAGAGGGAUGCGGAAUUCCAGGUGUAGCGGUGAAAUGCGUAGAUAUCUGGAGGAACACCGGUGGCGAAGGCGGCAUCCUGGACCAUAACUGACACUGAUAAGCGAAAGCCAGGGGAGCAAACGGG